rnacentral:sRNA from 1 species
AUGUACCCACCUACACUCCGGUUCCUCCGCGCCGUCCGCACCCACCUGACGGCUGCUCGCUACGUUUUGUUAGCC